rnacentral:rRNA from 1 species
CAGUAGCCGCGGGAAUACGAGGGGGGCAAGCGUUGUUCGGAAUUAUUGGGCGUAAAGGGUGCGUAGGCGGUUUGACAAGUCUUGUGUGAAAUCUUCGGGCUCAACCCGAAGCCUGCACGAGAAACUGUUGAGCUUGAGUAUUGGAGAGGUGAGUGGAAUUUCCGGUGUAGCGGUGAAAUGCGUAGAUAUCGGAAGGAACACCUGUGGCGAAAGCGGCUCACUGGACAAUAACUGACGCUGAUGCACGAAAGCUAGGGGAGCAAACAGGAUUAGAUACCCCCGUAGUCCCUGUCUCUUAUAC